rnacentral:lncRNA from 1 species
GGCCUGGCGCGUCCGCCGAGCGCGGGGGUUUGUUUAUUUUCCCGGUUGGUAGCGGCGCUGGCGCUGGUUAGAGGUUCGCCGGUGACGUGAGCGCCCGAGUUGGGGGAGAGGACCAGAACCACCUGCUGGAGAAAGGGAGCUACGGGGGCCGGGCAGGGUCCAAACGCCUCACGUGGGCGGCGGCGCCACGGUCUUCGGGGUCACAGGGAAGAGAAGGGCUCUCCUCAAGCGGGUGGAAGGAGGGAGGCCUCCCGAGGGAAUGAGACUCCAGGCCACUCCCCCGCAGCAAGGCAGGAUCACCUGCGUCGCGGAGAGCAGUUAGAGGUCCCUGGAGUGGAAAAGGGCAGUGGGACCUGGUAGCUUGGGUUCCCUGCAACUUGGGGUUCGACCUCCAGGCAAUGAAGUAGGGAUGGUCCUGCAAGUCAAGAUUCCAGUAGCAAGAGUGCAUCAGAUCUCUGUAAGGAAAAUAACUAACAUUGCUCAGUUCCCUGUAGAGUUGCAGGGCGCUUUGACGUUAUCUCCCUUGGUUCUCCAUCAGGUCGUAGUGGACUAAUUUUACAGGCGAAGUUAAGUGACUUACCCAAAACCUCACAGCUAAUAAACGGCAGAGCCGGCACCCAGCUGUACUGGCUUCCAGCGCAUCCCAUUAUCUCCAUAAAUCCCCCUGAUUCAACUAAUAUUAGACGCCCCACAGGUAAGAUGCUUCAGAGUUAGAGGGGAGUUGAAGAUACCUUUGCCUUCAAAGAAGUAAGGAAUGAAACAAAGAUAAAACAGACAAUAAAAGACAAACCAUGAUAGGUGCCACGUGAAAAGUGGCAGAGUACUGCCGGGAAUCAAAGAACCGUGUAUAUCUGUCUUGGGGAUAAGGAAAGAAACGCAGCAUGAAGGAGUAGGCAUUUGGGAUUGACCUUGAAGGAGACAGGGAGAGUUUUACAGCAAGAAGGGAUAGCAUGAGAAUAUAUAUGAAGGCGAAUCAGUGAAAGUUGUGUUGGGGAAAGAGCAAAGACUCCAGGUAUGUUGAGAGGUAGAAAAGACAAAGGAGUAUGGGGCCUAAGAUACCAAAUGGAUGAAUUUAUAUUUAAUUCAGUAUUUUGAGUUUUUAUGGUUCAGAAGUUUGGGGGAAGAAAAGGAAGGUUUUUUUUUUCUUUAUGCUAGUGAUUUAUCUGUGAAGGGAAGCAGAAAUCAGAGGUGGAAAAACUGACAGAUCUACUGUAGGCCAGGUAAAAGGUAAUGAUGAGUCUGACCUAAAGGGACAGCCAGGGGAAUUUAAAGAGCAUAGUUGAGAGAUGAUGUGCAUGCAGAAUCUAUAGAAUUUGCUAACUGAUUGAUUAAUUGUGGGUAGGAAGAGAGAAAUCAAAGAAAGUGGAGGUUUUGAGUUUCUAGAUAAUUGCAAGAGAGAAAAGAGACAAUUACAAAGGAAAGGAGAAGGAGCUACUUCUUGAGAGAAGAUCAGUUUAGAUUUAGACAUUUUAAGAAUUCAAAGGGUUGUCAAGACAGCCAGACGGACAUGGACACUAAUAAGUUAGAAAUAAAGGUUUUGUAAUAUGGGAAAGAGGACUGAGCUAGAAAAUAGACUCAUAGAUAAUCAGCCUAGGAGUGAUAUUGCUGUGAGAUAAAAGAAGAAAACAAAGUCAGAAUCUUGGAAAACACCCUCUUCAGAGUCUCGCUGCUCAAAACGUGGUCAGUGGCCCAGCAGCACUGACAUGAGGACCUUAGUUGGAAACUCAGAAUCUCAGGCUCCACCCCAGACCUGCUGAACCAGCAUCUUCAACUUAACAAGAACCCGAAGAGAUUUGUGCCACAUCAAAAAGUUUGAGAAGCUCUGAUCUAGCUGGACCCUGGACACGGUGACUCUGAUUCAAUUAUGCAGAUGACCACAAGCCUCUGGGGUUGGCAGAGCCACAAGAAAGAAGGUGCCUGGAUGAAGGAGAGCUACCCACUGACCUGGACACCCAAUUAUUCAUCUGUCUUAGAGCUAUUGGAAUCCUGGAUCAUUGUGGGAAAUGAAAAAUACUUCGAUGGAAUCAGCAGCCAUUGAUCCAAUGCCAACUCCAAGACUGGAACGUCGCAAUGAUAGUUCCAAGGCGGAAAUUUGACGUAAUUCUUUUCGACACAGUUUUACAGGCAUCUUGCAUGUGAAUAACUCACAACUUUAAUUCAUGGAACAAAUUGAGAAAUAGUCUUUUGGGGGUUUGGUACUCCCUGGAAACAUAAGAGUGCUUUGGGCACCUCUGGUGCCUUUCCAUGCCUGCCUUCUCUGCUGUUCUUGCUACUAGUGAAUUCUAAAUCAUGGCCAAGUGAUGCCAGCACUGGAUAAUAUUGGCUCUGCCCCAUAUCUCGAGGGAAAACUCUGGGACUUGGCAUUAUAUGUGUGGGAAUCUGGCCUUGGUUGGCACUCCCAGCAUGAUAGCAGGGUUCUGCUGUCUGAAUGUACUCUGGGGUGUGCGCCACAAUUUCUGUCAUCGAAAUGGAGAUGAGAGAAUAUGCCCUUGGUGGGGACACCCCACUGGAAUUAGAGUGAAGAGAUCAAAGCUAGAGGUUCUUAAAUCAAAGAAUGUCUAAUAGCAAAGACAAAAACUUGCUUAAGAGAAAUGCAUACAGGUACUAGACCUAAUAUGAUGAAAAAUGCUAACUUCAACAUAUUGAUGCAUGCUUAGUAUACUUUUAGUCCUGCAAAGACAAAAGUUUUUUGUUUGUUUUUUUUUGAGACGGAGUCUCGCUCUGUCGCCCAGGUUGGAGUGCAGUGGUGUGAUCUCGGCUUACUGCAAGCUCUGCCUCCUGGGUUCACACCAUUCUCCUGCCUCAGCCUCCGGAGUAGCUGGGACUACAGGCGCCCGCCACCACGCCCGGCUAAUUUUUUGUAUUUUUAGUAGAGAUGGGGUUUCACCGUGUUAGCCAGGAUGGUCUCGAUCUCCUGACCUCAGGUGAUCCGCCUGCCUUGGCCUCCCAAAGUGCUGGGAUUACAGGCAUGAGCCACCGCACCUGGCCCAGUCCUGCCAAGACAAAGUUUUAAAACACAGGUUGCACAUUGGCAGCUCUCAAGCCAAAUCUGGCCCAUAGACAUGGUUUGCUUGGCCUAUAAUGUUAGUAAUACUUGACCCAAGAUUUAAAAUUUGAAAAGUUUCAUAUAAAAAUAUAGAUUUACAGCUUUUCUAGAAAAACUAUAAGAGUUAACAGUUUCUGAAUUGCAACAGCAGCUGGAACACCGUUGCCACUGACCAUUUAGAUGACUGCUGCAGUCCCCACGGCUCACUCUGGUUCAGGUAGGGGUUCUAGUUUGUAACCCCUGGUUUAAAACAUAACUGACUCUCUAGUUUUUAAAAUUCUCUCAAAAUCAAAUAACCUGAACUAGCAAAUGAUCUAGAUCCUCGUACAUGGAACUCAUACUAAGUUGACCACAGACAGUGGCUCCCAAACUCUGCAGUACAUCAGAGUCACUGGGAAGCUUUAAAAAAUCCUGCUCCCUAGCUGGGUGCAGUGGUUUAUGCCUGUAGCCCCAGCUACUUGAGAGGCUGAGGUGGGAGGAUUGCUCAAGCCCAGGAGUUUGAGGCUGCAGUGAGCCAUGAAUGUACCACUACACUCCAGCCUGGGCAACAGAGCAAGACCCCAACUCUAAAAAAAAAUCCUGCUCCCCAGGUGACAGUAUCUGGGGGAAGGAGUAAGGCAUCUUAUUUUCAAAAGAUCAUAAGAAAAGAGGCUCAUUGCUGAGGCUCACUCCGGAGCCCACUUGGAUUCUUCACAAGAAAGUUUCCCUCUUCCAGAAUUUUAUAAUUGAGGGAACCGACUAGGGAAAGAUUAAUUUGCCCAAGGUCAAACAACUAGUAAAAGAAGUAAGGAUUCCAACCCAGAUCUUUUGACUCUAUUAUCCUUACAUAUAGUUUUAUAGUGAUUUAAAUUGAUACAAGGAUAGGUUUAAAUACAAGUAGAAUGCAGGUUCAUAUAAAACUGAUUUUAUCCUCAUGUUAGAAAACAUAUACACUGUAACAGAGGGAUGACCAUCAAGUGACCAAGAUAUUUUAGUCAAAAGAUGAAUUUUUCUGCAAUUGGAGAAUGCCAAAAAUAUUCAAAGAAAAUAUAAGUCUUGUAGGCAGUCUUCUAUCAAAACCCACUGAACCGCUGGGCACGGUGGCUCAUGCCUGUAAUUCCAGCACUUUGGGAGGCCAAGGCUGGUGGAUCACCUGAGGUCAGGAGUUUGAGACCAGCCUGGCCGACAUGGUCUCUACUAAAAAUACAAAAAAUUAGCUGGGCCUGGUGGCGGCACCUGUAAUCCCAGCUACUGAGGAGGCUGAGGCAGGAGAAUUGUUUGAACCUUGGAGGUAGAGGCUGCAGUGAGCUGAGAUAGCACCACUGCACUCCAGCCUGGGUAACAAGAGUGAAACUCCAUUCAAAAACAAAAAACAAACAAAAAAAAAACAAUGCACCAAAUACUAAGUUAUUAACUAGGAUACUGAUUAUUAAGCAUGUAAAACAUUUUAUGGAACUCAGAGUUUGAUGUAAAUUGCUAUAUUUUAUAAUUCAAACAAACCUUGUUUCAUGUCAUUAUAUUAGAGUAGCAUUAUGAGACAGGAUAUAGUGUAAGCUAUAUCCCCAAUAUAAUUGCAACUGUAUAUUUUAAAGCAUGGGGAAAAUAUGAAAAGAAUUAUGCUCAAAUGUGGGUAGGAUUAUAACUGAUUUGUUUUCUUCAUUUUCAGAUUUUUCUAUAAUGACUAUACAUUAUUUUUAUAGUCAAAAAUAGAAGUAUUUUAAAUGUUUCUAGGUAGAAUAGCAAAUUAGCUGAAAUAGUAUCUCCAACGUUAUUAUCAAGACUAGACUCCUUGGGUAAAUUGGUCAGAACAGUGUUGUUCUCAUUUUACACCUCUCCAAGAUUAACUAUGUUUUAGAUUUGUGUGUGUGUUUGGUUAAAGAGCCAGGAUGAAGAUCCAGAGUUCUUAAACCUGUAUACCACCAUACUACAUUGUCAUUUUAAAGAAAUGUCUAGUAGACUCGGUGGCAUAAACAUGGGCCAUUUACAAACUAGAUGUCUAAUAUCAGAUACCUCAAAUUUGACAGUAGACUUUUUUUCAAAGCUAAAGUGGUCUUAUGUUGACUAUUUUGUUUCUUACUUGAUACUUGUUUACUUUUUAAUUUUUGGCAAGUAAUGUUUCAAGUUAAAGUUUUAGCUAUAUAUAGCAGGCAGUAUUUCAAGUAAAUGAGUUACAUCAGUAAACACCUCUGUAUUACUAAACUGAGAAUCAGAAAAUGUAAUCUCUUUGGCAGGAUUCGUAUGUUUGUAUCACGUCUUUAUCCUCAGGCAACUUUUAUCUUGGAAUACUGAACCAGCAGUCAGAAUAUGAGGGACAUUAGACUGUGUUAUAGUUACUGUUCUGUCCUUAAGUCACUUGCCUUCUCUAAGUGUCAGUUGCCUCAUCUGAAAAUGGAGUUAGCAGACCCCAGCCUAUCCUGAGUUUGAGGGCUAAAGGGAAUUAUUCUUGAAAAUGUCUAUACAUGAUAAAUGUCACAAAUAUAACUUAGCAUUUUUUUUUUGAGACAGAGUUUCGCUCUUGUGGCCCAGGUCGGGGUGCAAUGUCGUGAUCUCAGCUCACUGCAACCUCUGCCUCCCGGGUUCAAGCGAUUCUCCUGCCUCAGCCUCCUGAGUAGCUGGGAUUACAGGCAUGCACCACCACACCUGGCUAAUUUUGUAUUUUUUAAUAGAGACGGGGUUUCACCAUGUUGGUCAGGUUGGUCUCGAACUCCUACCCUCCGGUGAUCCACCCGCCUUGGCCUCCCAAAGUGCUGGGAUUACAGGCAUGAGCCACCGCACCUAGCCAAUUCUACUUCUAUUACAUUUUCAGCAUAUAUCACUUCAUUGCUCCUCCAUAUUAUUUUUCACUGGUCUUCUUACAUCUUGUGUGCCCAUAUUUAAGUAGUUUUCUUUCCAGGUAAAAAAUACAUGUGUGCCUAAAAGAUUUUAAAGUCAACUUUUCAUAAACCAUACCUAAAUUAUCAAAGUUAUUAGAAUUAUUAGAAAGUAUUAGCUAAUUCUUUUAUAAAAUGUAGACUUUAUUAUUUUAGAAAUAUUGAUUCCUCUCUAUUCAGCUAUCUUAAAGAGGGUAUAUUUUAAUCAUCGCAAUAUAUUACCUUCAUAGUAUUUUUUACUUUUGCAAAGUAUAUUUUGUCAUGUUAUUUCAUUUAGGAAUGCACUAAAUCUACAUAUCUACAUAUGAUUAUACAAGGAAACAUCUUUGUCUCAAAAAUGGGUUCUAUUACAUUUUUUAAUUUCCAGGGGUCAUGAUAUAUAAAAAGACCUGAUUUAUCUUAAAAAUACAUACUUUUAUUCUUACCUACCAUACAUCUUUUUUUGUGAUAAUCAGAAGGCUUAAUUUACUAUAAAAUAGGAAAACAACAGCUAUGUUAGAUUAUAUAGUUAAUUUAGGGAUUAAAUGAGUUAAGGUCUACAAGCCCCUGGCACAUGGCAGACAAUCAAUAAUUGAUCAUUUCCUUUGCAUCUAUAAAUUUGUUCAUUCACUUCUCAUGUGGUUCUACCUUAGACAACGAUUUUUGUUUACAGAGACAAAUAGAAGUAUCUAAUCCUAAAUAACCCAAUCAAUUGGUAAAGGCUACACUACAAAGCUGGCAUGACUUCACCAAAUGCUAGAGAAACAGUGUUAAGAGUGACAACACUAAAAGUCUUACACUCUGAUGAUGCUAGUUGCCGCCGAAUUGCUUCCCCUACCAGUUCCUUAAGUUUCUUCUUAUGAUCCCGGCUGGUUUUCUUAUAGAAAUAAAGAUCUUUUUCCAACUGCUG